UUUUUUCUGUAAACAUCAAAAUGUUUCCUUGUUGAGCAUGUACAACGUCAUUUCUUGCUUCUUUAAGUAACAACGGAUCCUCUUCGUCCACCAAACACAAGAUUCAGAUAAUACUUGACAUUAAAUUUGUUGUUGAUGUUCUAAGAAUCUAGUGUGCCUUUUCCUGCAAAAAAAAGACACAGCGUGCCACGUACAAACCUCAAUAUUACACAUAUAAUCUCCACUAGAACUUGACCCGCUCCCCC
rnacentral:lncRNA from 1 species